GAGGCGCUGAAAGGUUUCCCUAAUAGUUCCUGGUGAAUCAAAGCAGAACCAUAAAGGUUGCUGGACUGCAUGAUGGCCUUACCCCUGAGCAGUCAUCCUGUUAAAGGAGGAACCAGUUAGAAGCUGUUUUCAAAGUAGCUGAGCAGAUUUCAUCUCAACAGACAAAGCCAAUGGCAGAAGAUGUUUGGAGAAGAACUUCAGGCCGUGUACUGACAAGAUCAAAGCAGCUCGUGCUCUUUCUGCUUCCAUUUUGAUGGCAAGAAGAAGAAGAAGAAGAAGACUUCAGCGAAGUGGCGUUCAUGGUCUCAGUGGACAGUCAUGGUCACAUACUGCAUGUGGUUUUAAAAGCAACAUGUCUGUUCACCACAACAAUCGAGAUGUGUAAUAUCAGUGCAGCUACAGUUUGUUCUUGAACAUCAGUUCUGUUUUCUACUUUGACCACUUAGACCAAAAAAGUGUUGUUUUCAGAUUCUUUCUUUUAAAUCUGUAAAGCACCUGCUCAUUUUUUAUUACAAUUAGUUUCACAUAAAUAGUAGUGUUUCCUUUAUGGUCUUUUAAUGCUUACACUACACUGUACACGUCUACAUUAGAGACAUUUCUGUUAUCUGUUUAUGAGACUGGGCUGCUUGACUACAAUUUGGAAAUGGGUGCAAAAUUGUGCUAUUGUUUGUUAUUUAAUAUGAUUCAAUUCAAUUCAAUAAAACUUUAUUGAUCCUGAAGGUUGACCCCGAGGGAAAUUCGGGUUAAGGCCAACACAGGACGUGUCUGACUAAGCAAAGAUUAAUCUGAUCCCAUUUCUACCUGUCUCUACUGUUUCAACUGUAAUUGGCAGGAUAUAUAUUUAUUCCAGCUCUCAUAGGGCAAAGGAAUGACUCAGACGUGUCAAAUGUUCUUUGACUUGAUAAACAAUUUGAAGUUCACAAUU